AACGAACGCUGGCGGCAGGCCUAACACAUGCAAGUCGAGCGGACCCUUCGGGGUUAGCGGCGGACGGGUGAGUAACGCGUGGGAACGUGCCCUUUGCUUCGGAAUAGCCCUGGGAAACUGGGAGUAAUACCGGAUACGCCCUUUUGGGGAAAGAUUUAUCGGCGAAGGAUCGGCCCGCGUUGGAUUAGGUAGUUGGUGGGGUAAUGGCCUACCAAGCCGACGAUCCAUAGCUGGUUUGAGAGGAUGAUCAGCCACACUGGGACUGAGACACGGCCCAGACUCCUACGGGAGGCAGCAGUGGGGAAUCUUAGACAAGGGGGGAAACCCUGAUCUAGCCAUGCCGCGUGAGCGAUGAAGGCCUUAGGGUUGUAAAGCUCUUUCACCGGGGAAGAUAAUGACGGUACCCGGAGAAGAAGCCCCGGCUAACUCCGUG
rnacentral:rRNA from 1 species